rnacentral:tRNA from 1 species
AAUUCUUUAACUUAAUAGGUAAAGUGCAUUUUUGAUAAGAAUAUUAUUCAAAUUCAAGUCUUAAAAGAAUUA